UUUACAGCCGGUCACUUCCACAACAUCUACUAGUUCAACAUCUACAGUUUCUUUACAGCCAGUCACUUCCACAACAUCUACUAGUUCAACAUCUACAGCCUCUUUACAGCUGGUCACUUCCACAACAUCUACUAGUUCAAC